UAGCCGUAAACGAUACUCGCUAGGUGUCGGCCACGGUGCGACCGUUGUCGGUGCCGUAGGGAAGCCGUGAAGCGAGCCACCUGGGAAGUACGGCCGCAAGGCUGAAACUUAAAGGAAUUGGCGGGGGAGCACAACAACGGGUGGAGCUUGCGGUUUAAUUGGAUUCAACGCCGGAAAUCUUACCGGGACCGACAGCAACAUGAAGGCCAGGCUGAGGACUUUGCCGGAUUAGCUGAGAGGAGGUGCAUGGCGUAGUCGUGU
rnacentral:rRNA from 1 species